rnacentral:rRNA from 1 species
CGCGUAGGCGGUUUGGACAGUUGGGCGUGAAAUUCCUGGGCUUAACCUGGGGGCUGCGUUCAAUACGUUUGGACUUGAGUUCGGAAGAGGGUCGUGGAAUUCCCAGUGUAGAGGUGAAAUUCGUAGAUAUCGGGAAGAACACCGGUGGCGAAGGCGGCGACCUGGUCCGAUACUGACGCUGAGGCGCGAAAGCGUGGGGAGCAAACAGGAUUAGAUACCCUGGUAGUCCACGCUGUAAACGAUGUGUGCUGGAUGUUGGGCGACCUAGUCGCUCAGUGUCGUAGCUAACGCGAUAAGCACACCGCCUGGGGAGUACGGCCGCAAGGUUGAA